UACGUAGGGUGCAAGCGUUGUCCGGAAUUAUUGGGCGUAAAGAGUUCGUAGGCGGUUUGUCGCGUCCGUUGUGAAAGCUUGGGGCUCAACCCCAGGUCUGCAGUGGAUACGGGCAGACUAGAGUCAGGUAGGGGAGAACGGAAUUCCUGGUGUAGCGGUGAAAUGCGCAGAUAUCAGGAGGAACACCGGUGGCGAAGGCGGUUCUCUGGGCCUGUACUGACGCUGAGGAGCGAAAGCGUGGGGAGCGAACAGG
rnacentral:rRNA from 1 species